GAAAUGCGAUAAGUAAUGUGAAUUGCAGAAUUCAGUGAAUCAUCGAAUCUUUGAACGCACCUUGCGCCCUCUGGUAUUCCGGAGGGCAUGCCUGUUUGAGUGUCAUUAAAUUCUCAACUUCAUUAGUUUUUAUAACUGAUUGGAGCUUGGAUGUGGGGGUUUGCUGGCGUCUUUAGAUGUUUUCGGCUCCCCUUAAAUGCAUUAGUAGGAACCCGUUUGUUGGCAUCCAUUGUGUGAUAAUUAUCUACGCUUUGGUUAGUUCAACAGGCUCUAGUGAACUUUAUACCGCCUUUUCAGAACACUUAGGUGUCUCUGGUAUGGGUUUUGCACUUCGGUGCUUUACCUGGGUUGUUGGGUUUUGCGCUUCGGUGCUUUACCUGGGUAUUGGGUUUUGCAUUUCGGUGCUUUACCUGUUCUUUUCAUUAGAGUAGGAACUCUGCUUUCUAACCGUCUGUGUAUUGCGGACAACUUUUGACAACUUGACCUCAAAUCAGGUAGGACUACCCGCUGAACUUAA
rnacentral:rRNA from 1 species